rnacentral:rRNA from 1 species
AUGGAUCCUGGCUCAGGACGAACGCGGGGGGGGUGCUUAAUACAUCCAAGUGGACCGGCCAGAUGGGAGCUUGCUCCCUGAUGUCAGCGGCGGACGGGUAAGUACCACGUGGGUAACCUCCCUGUAAGACUGGGAUAAUUCCGGGAAACCGGGGUUAAUACCGGAUGCUUAAUUGAACCCCAUGGUUCAAUUAUAAAAGGUGGCUUUGGCUACCACUUACAGAUGGACCCGCGGCGCAUUAGCUAGUUGGUGAGGUAACGGCUCACCAAGGCGACGAUGCGUAGCCGACCUGAGAGGGUGAUCGGCCACACUGGGACUGAGACACGGCCCAGACUCCUACGGGAGGCAGCAGUAGGGAAUCUUCCGCAAUGGACGAAAGUCUGACGGAGCAACGCCGCGUGAGUGAUGAAGGUUUUCGGAUCGUAAAACUCUGUUGUUAGGGAAGAACAAGUACCGUUCGAAUAGGGCGGUACCUGACGGUACCAACCAGAA